rnacentral:rRNA from 1 species
AUGUUUGUAUGUGGGCAACAUGAUAGACUUAAAUAUCUGGAACGUGACGGGACAUAUGAUAGCAUCGAGAAUCUAGAAAGAAAAGCUAGUAAUAGUAUCAAGGAUAAUGAUCAUCCUUGCCUGGUACUCACGGUUAGUAGAAGAUCAACCCUUUGCUCGAAGAUCACAUCAUCUUUGAGUCCUAUCCAUGAAGAAACGAAGAAGCAAAGAACGCUGAAAAGAACAACAGAUACACACUUAAUACUACGACAGAAGAUCCAUCAUGUUCAUGAUAUACAAUGGCAUGGCAUGGCAAGGGAAGCAAUAGUUACACAUUAA